AACGAACGCUGGCGGCAGGCCUAACACAUGCAAGUCGAGCGAAGCCUUCGGGCUUAGCGGCGGACGGGUGAGUAACGCGUGGGAACGUGCCCUUUGGUACGGAAUGGCCCCGGGAAACUGGGAGUAAUACCGUAUGUGGUCGAGAGACGAAAGAUUUAUCGCCAAAGGAUCGCCCGCGUUGGAUUAGGUAGUUGGUGGGGUAAUGGCCUACCAAGCCGACGAUCCAUAGCUGGUUUGAGAGGAUGAUCAGCCACACUGGGACUGAGACACGGCCCAGACUCCUACGGGAGGCAGCAGUGGGGAAUCUUAGACAAUGGGGGGAACCCUGAUCUAGCCAUGCCGCGUGAUCGAUGAAGGCCUUAGGGUUGUAAAGAUCUUUCAGUGGGGAAGAUAAUGACUGUACCCACAGAAGAAGCCCCGGCUAACUCCGUGCCAGCCGCCGCAGUAACAC
rnacentral:rRNA from 1 species